ACACAGCUCCGUUUUCUCCCUUAACCUCAGGACUGAAUCCGGAAUCUCCCCUCGGUGUCCCCUUGUAGCUUGCUGAAUUCUUCCUGUGUAAACUAGGUGACUGUAACAAGAACUCCUGCUGUCUGCACUCUCCUGUAAUGUGAUUUCUCUACAUAUCCAUGGGAGAGGAAGUACCUCUGAGUUUGGACAGAGAAGAUGCCUGUAUCAUACAGACUGUUUCUGAAUGAGAAGAAAGUGCCACGAAAAGAACAGUAACUGAACACUUACUAUGUAUGAGAUAAUCCAAAAGAUACAAAGAUGGGUAAGACUCAAUUCCUGUCGGAAAGAAGAUUACAGGCGGAGAAAAGAAGACAAUAUAUGUUUAGCAUAAUGCAGAAGAAGAACCAU